rnacentral:rRNA from 1 species
AUUGAACGCUGGCGGCAGGCCUAACACAUGCAAGUCGAACGGUAUCAGGAAACAGCUUGCUGUUUCGCUGACGAGUGGCGGACGGGUGAGUAAUGUCUGGGAAACUGCCUGAUGGAGGGGGAUAACUACUGGAAACGGUAGCUAAUACCGCAUAACGUCGCAAGACCAAAGAGGGGGACCUUCGGGCCUCUUGCCAUCGGAUGUGCCCAGAUGGGAUUAGCUAGUAGGUGGGGUAACGGCUCACCUAGGCGACGAUCCCUAGCUGGUCUGAGAGGAUGACCAGCCACACUGGAACUGAGACACGGUCCAGACUCCUACGGGAGGCAGCAGUGGGGAAUAUUGCACAAAGGGCGCAAGCCUGAUGCAGCCAUGCCGCGUGUAUGAAGAAGGCCUUCGGGUUGUAAAGUACUUUCAGCGGGGAGGAAGGGAGUAAAGUUAAUACCUUUACUCAUUGACGUUACCCGCAGAAGAAGCACCGGCUAACUCCGUG